GACAGAGGGUGCAAACGUUUGUUCGGAUUUACUGGGCGUAAAGCGCGCGUAGGCGGCUUUGCAAGUCGGGUGUGAAAUCCCCAGGCUUAACCUGGGAACUGCAUUCGAGACUGCAUUGCUAGAGUAUGGGAGAGGGAAGUGGAAUUUCCGGUGUAGCGGUGAAAUGCGUAGAUAUCGGAAGGAACAUCAGUGGCGAAAGCGACUUCCUGGACCAAUACUGACGCUCAUGUGCGAAAGCGUGGGGAGCAAACAGG
rnacentral:rRNA from 1 species